rnacentral:lncRNA from 1 species
CUGGCUAGACACUGCAAUUAUCUGAUCAUGAUGUGUGGGAUACAAAUGGUACCUACAUUAUGAAACAAUGUAGCCACACAGACAUAUAUGUGGAUCAGCACAUCUGCAAUGUACUCAGUAAGCGGGUGUGAAUGCACUAAGUAAAACAGAUUAUAUAUAUGAUAUCUUAAAGCAUACAUGCUAAGUGUGAGUAGACUCACCAAU